CGUCCAUCGAUCGACAUUAACCAAGUUUUAUUUGAAAACAUCAUCGAUGGACUUAAUGAUGCAUCCGCGAUGCAAGUAAUUCUCUAAGUUAAAUACAUCUCUCUGGAAAAGUUAUUUUAGACAUUCUAAUUUUCUAUAUACGGUUUUGUACUUUUGCAGCCAGGACAAUUGGUCGAUGGUCGAAAUGUCUCGCACAUAGACGAGAAAAAAGAUUACCAGAACCAUUUCUAGUUUCGCGAGAGAUUAUUGUAGAGAAAUAAUCUAUCGCACAAAGAAGUUCACUGAAUACUUUACGAAAUCCUUUUACGGAGGAGGAAAUGCUUCGAGUGCACUCCCAGAAUAGCGUGUAUGAGCAGGAGGCGCAAUUUGUACAGGAUCGUAUAACAGGCGUGGAGAAGCACUUUGCUGAACUAUGCAAGAUAUUACAGCGUUUACCAGGAAAGCGGCCAGACUGCGCGAUAAAAGUGACGAGCUUGCAAACAAUAAUACAGGUCUAUGGUGAUUCGGAAACUAUAAAUCGAUCCAUGAGUACUGGAUUGGCGAACUUUUCAACAACGUUAUCAGUCGUCGGUGAUUAUAGAGAUGCAGAAUACAAAGAUACAAUACAAAGAUUGGACGCCAAAAUAAUUGCGCCUCUUUCACAGUACGCAAUGAUUUGCAAGCAUGCAUGCGAUGAUGUAAAAAAUACCUUCGCAGCACGCGACAGAGAAUUCACAGGACGAAGGCAAUUGGACAAAAUUCGAGAAAGAAACCCUAGGAAUCGUCAAAUGUCACAAGCCGAGUCUGAACUGAUGAAAGCAUCCGUUGAGAUGUCCCGAGUGGUCAAGGGAUUGGAGGAGCAGAUCAACUCGUCCGAGCGACGAAAGCUGCAUGAUUUGAAAUCUGUACUAUUGGAUUUCGUCACCAUCGAACUGAGGUUUCACAGAAAGGCUCGUGAACUUCUGACUAAAGCGUACCAAGAUAUCGUAUCCAUCGACGAGAUUAAAGAUCUUGAGGAAUUUAGAGAAACAAUGCGCGCCCCUGACUCCGUCACAAGGCUGGACACAGUAAACAGAACGUCGUUUCGACACGCUUAUUCCUUAACGAACUUAGCUAACCGAUUUGCAUCCUCUCCUGCAACACUGUAGAAAUUGGCUAAUCGAGAAGCCGAGUCUGCUGAUUCCGUACAAACCGGAUUCACCAAUUCAUCCGAGUCGGUUCAAGUCGAGGAAUACGCGGACAGCACGGAGGAAACGGAAUCAGAAUCGAUUCGAGAGAAGCCUGUGAGAACUAGGCAUAAGUCUAUGUAACUUCAUAUAUCAUCGUCCAUAAUAUAUCGCAUACCUUCGAAAAUGAAUUGAACGAAGUAAAUUUUAUUUACACACAUUACUUACUUUUGAAAAAUACUCGAUUUGUACUUUAGAUAGAUAUAAAUGUCUAUGAAUAGUUGUUUAAGAUGGAACAAUAAUUCAAUAUAACAGUUUUAAUAAAAGAAGAGGUUCCUGAAUCAUUUUGACGCCAAGAAUUAUAAUGUCUAGUAAUCAAUGUAUGUAUUAUGAGUUACGUUAUAUUAAAGUUGUGUUAUUUAAACUGUAAUCCUCAUUCACUUUUUGAUAGCUCAGUCAAUCGUAAUAAAGAUAAUUCAAAGCAAUAAAAAAAGUACAGUUUUAUAGAAAAGUGUAAGUAUAUUUUUUAUAAUAUAACAAAAGGAUAUCUCAUGCAUGCUUAUCUUUCCUCCACAUGAUUGUAUGGCUAUUCCAGAUACUUUGGAUGAGUGGUCACUUGUUAGAUUAGUAUAUUGAAGAAAGGGAUGAGCCUAUUUAUCACCUUCUUAUUAAGGAUUUAUAUGGCACAUUAAUAGUACGAAUAUUACUGAGUAAUAUUACUAAUAAGUAAAUGCAGCUUUCACAGUUAUAUUAAUAGAUAAAUCAAUACAAUGUAAGAUACAUAUACAAUAUGUAUAAUGCUGAAACAAAUGUAAGUAUUAUGUUUGUUAUCUGUAUGUAUAUAAAUAAUAUUUACAUUAACAAUGUUCGUUAUCACGACGUGAUCGACUUGAACACAGGAGCAUCGAUAAUCGUUUUGUUAAAAGAUAA